rnacentral:sRNA from 1 species
GCUGGGCAUGGUGGUGCAUUCCUGUAAUCCCAGUGGCUCAGGAGGCUGAGGCAGGAAGACUGUGAGUUCAAAACCAGCCUCAGCAAAAGCGAGAUGCUAAGCAACUCAGUGAGACCCUGUCUCUA